rnacentral:tRNA from 1 species
GCGGGCGUGGUGGAAUCGGUAGACACGCCGGCCUUAGGAGCCGGUGGCCUUACGGCUAUGAGGGUUCGAGUCCCUCCGCCCGCA